rnacentral:rRNA from 1 species
GAUGAACGCUGGCGGCGUGCCUAAUACAUGCAAGUCGAGCGAACGGACGAGAAGCUUGCUUCUCUGAUGUUAGCGGCGGACGGGUGAGUAACAUGUGGAUAACCUACCUAUAAGACUGGGAUAACUUCGGGAAACCGUAGCUAAUACCGGAUAAUAUUUUGAACCGCAUGGUUCAAAAGUGAAAGACGGUCUUGCUGUCACUUCUAGAUGGUUCCGCGCUGCAUUAGCUAGUUGGUAAGGUAACGGCUUACCAAGGCAACGAUGCAUAGCCGACCUGAGAGGGGGAUCGGCCACACGGGAACUGAGACACGGUCCAGACUCCUACGGGAGGCAGCAGUAGGGAAUCUUCCGCAGUGGGCGAAAGCCUGACGGAGCAACGCCGCGUGAGUGAUGAAGGUCUUCGGAUCGUAAAACUCUGUUAUUAGGGAAGAACAUAUGUGUAAGUAACUGUGCACAUCUUGACGGUACCUAAUCAGAAAGCCACGGCUAACUACGUG